GCCUGGAGGGAGUCAGACUUUGGAGAAGCCGCAGACAGUGGAAUGUCACGGGGGCGGGGUUUCUCUGCACCCAGACUGCCCGGGGAAAAACUCCUAAAGAUCCUGAGAAGAAAAGGCCCCAGAAUUGCUGGAGUUCAAAGUUCUGGCCGCAGUCUCCCAGGAGAGGUGGGCCCUUGCUUAUCACCAUUGAGGCCUGCCCCAAGGCCGCAGGUGCGAGGCCUCGCACUAAGGCCACAGAAGCGGAGCCCAGAACCAAGGUCACCUCUGAAGCUGACGGAGCCUCUUUGUAACCACUGGUCAUCACUCACAAGCUUCCUGACUCCCAGUCAGGCAGCGAUGCCCACUCCAGGAGACACCCUAUCAUGCCCCGAUCACCUAAUGCCAACCGUCCAGCAGGAAUUCUCUUUGUCUUCAGGCUCUAAAAACUGGCUAUGAACCCAUGAAAACUGUUGACUCCCCCUGGUCUGUCAGGUGUUAUUGGCCCACUGUGCUGGCACUGCCCACUUUAUCUCUCUGCUCUUGGCUCUUCAUAAACUCACUCCCUUCUGAAAUGCUCUCUGUCUGGAAAUUCUUUUCCAGCUUGCACUUGGACUGCCUCAACACUUAUCACUGGCCUCUGGGCCUCAGUUCCUUCAGGUGUAGGACUGAAGGGUCAGGCCCUGCGGAGUUCUGUAAAGAUGUGAGAGAGGGUGGCAGGGAAGCUGGGGUGGGGAUAGGGGUCUCUGGGAACCAGCCCCACUUCACCUGCUCACCUGGCAAACCUCGGCCCAUCCGUUAAGCCACAAGCCAGGCACCAUCUCCUCCUGGAAGCUUUCCAGACCUGUCCCAGACCUACCUAAAGGCCUCCUCUGGGCGGCCACAGAUUACAAGCUAUCUCCUAGCUAUCAAAGGAGUACCUCUGUAACAGGAGAUAUUAUAGGAGAUAUUACAAAGGUACAUACCUUUGUAAUUGUCUACACAGUUGUUUGCCUGUCAUCAGAGAAUACCUGAGUUGAAAUUCCAGUUCUGUUACUUUCCAGCUGUGUGACGGUGAGCAAGUGACCUAACCUCUCUGGGCUUCAGUUGCUACAUCCCUAAAACGGUAUCAGUAAACACAGAAUGUUUGCUACAUGCCUCUCCCUGUCUAUGUCCUCGAUUUCAUCUACAAAACAUCUCUAUGAGACUGGUAUGAAAGGCAUUCAUUUCUAUUUAAAACAAAUGAGAAAACUGGGAAUUCCCUGGCGGGCCAGUGGUUAAGACUCAGUGCUUUCACUGCCAGGGUCCUGGCUCAGUUUGAUGACCUCCGGUCUGGUCAGGGAACCAAGAUCCAACAAGCUGUUUGUUGCAGUCAAAAAAAAA